GCUUGUUGGUGGGGUAACGGCCUACCAAGGCUAAGACGGCUAGGGGGCGUGAGAGCGCGACCCCCCACAAUGGAACUGAGACACGGUCCAUACUCCUACGGGAGGCAGCAGUGAGGAAUAUUGCGCAAUGGGGGCAACCCUGACGCAGCAACGCCGCGUGGACGAUGAAGGCCUUCGGGUUGUAAAGUCCUUUUUUGGGGGAUGAUAAUGACGGUACCCCAAGAAUAAGUCCCGGCUAACUACGUGCCAGCAGCCGCGGUAAAACGUAGGGGGCGAGCGUUAUCCGGAUUUACUGGGCGUAAAGCGCACGUAGGCGGCGCUGUAAGUUGGACGUGAAAGCUCUCGGCUUAACUGGGAGAGGUCGUUCAAUACUGCGGUGCUCGAGGUUGGGAGAGGAGAGUGGAAUUCCCGGUGUAGUGGUGGAAUGCGUAGAUAUCGGGAGGAACACCAGUGGCGAAGGCGACUCUCUGGUCCACACCUGACGCUGAGGUGCGAAAGCGUGGGGAGCGAACGGGAUUAGAUACCCCGGUAGUCCACGCCGUAAACGAUGGAUACUAGGUGUAGGAGGUCAUUUACCCCUUCUGUGCCGUAGCUAACGCGUUAAGUAUCCCGCCUGGGGACUACGAUCGCAAGGUUAAAACUCAAAGGAAUUGACGGGGGCCCACACAGGCAGCGGAGCGUGUGGUUUAAUUCGAUGAUACGCGAAGAACCUUACCUGGGUUUGACAUGUUGGUAGUAGUGAAGCGAAAGCGGAACGACCCUUCGGGGAGCCAUCACAGGUGCUGCAUGGCUGUCGUCAGCUCGUGUCGUGAGAUGUUGGGUUAAGUCCCGCAACGAGCGCAACCCUCGUCGUUAGUUACAAGUGUCUAACGAGACUGCCGGUAUCAAACCGGAGGAAGGUGGGGAUGACGUCAAGUCAGCAUGGUCUUUAUAUCCAGGGCUACACACACGCUACAAUGGUCGGUACAAUAGGCUGCCACACCGCGAGGUGAAGCUAAUCCUCAAAGCCGGUCUCAGUUCGGAUUGUAGUCUGCAACUCGACUGCAU
rnacentral:rRNA from 1 species